rnacentral:snoRNA from 13 species
GGAUCGAUGAUGACUCCACCGUCAAACAUUCCUUGGAAAAGCUGAACAAAAUGAGUGAAAACUCACUACCGUCGUUCUCAUCGUGACUGAGGUCC